AUUGAACGCUGGCGGCAGGCCUAACACAUGCAAGUCGAACGAGUGGCGGACGGGUGAGUAAUGUCUGGGAAACUGCCUGAUGGAGGGGGAUAACUAAUGGAACCGGUAGCUAAUACCGCAUACCAUCGGAUGUGCCCAGAUGGGAUUAGCUAGUAGGUGUGGUAACGGCUCACCUAGGCGACGAUCCCUAGCUGGUCUGAGAGGAUGACCAGCCACACUGGAACUGAGACACGGUCCAGACUCCUACGGGAGGCAGCAGUGGGGAAUAUUGCACAAUGGGCGCAAGCCUGAUGCAGCCAUGCCGCGUGUAUGAAGAAGGCCUUCGGGUUGUAAAGUACUUUCAGCGAGGAGGCGUUACUCGCAGAAGAAGCACCGGCUAACUCCGUGCCAGCCGCCGCGGUAAUUC
rnacentral:rRNA from 1 species